UGGAAGACUUGUGAUUUUGUUGUCUGAUAGCUAAACAACAUGUCACAGUCUUUCCUCA
rnacentral:pre_miRNA from 1 species